GGAAACUAAGCAUAAGAAUCAAUAUGAAACAUCAAAAGGUUUCUAAAAGUUGACAAUAAAUGAAUAUUGUGAUUUGAAAUUAUUUUUUAGAUUGAAGUUAUAAAGGGCUCUGGAGUGUUUUGCCAGGCAGAAGCAUGGAAAGCAACCCGCCUUGCCACCUCUGCUACUGCCAUGGUGAGGAAUCUGCUAAUGGGCACCUUUGUCCUGGAGACUUUGCUGAAAAGCAACCUAAAUGGUGGGAAGCCAACCAGAGGGGAUGGGGAGCAGCUGGUUGCCCUUGACCAAAUUAAAAAGGCAGCCAUUAUUGGCAUCAACAGAGACUGUAUAAGGUAGGGCACCCAUUAUUUUGACUGUAUCUGCUUAGCACCUAUAAUACUAAUUCAUCGUUUGCUCACUUCUUGAUCCUACCUUUUGUCUUCUUAAGCCACAUUUCUGGGGUAUUGCACUGUAAGGUGUGUUGUCCUCUAUUUUGUAGGACAUAUAGUGUUGCAAAUAACUUCAUGGCAUGUUGUCGUCUGAAGGGUUAAUAAAAAAAUCAUAUUCACCCCUCCUUCACCCUUAAACCAUUCUGUGCUGUGUUUGUGCC